rnacentral:lncRNA from 1 species
GUGUGAUUUAAUUUAGAUUACCACACGGCUUGUGAAGCAAUGUAGCAGAUUGUAAUAGAUUUUCAUUGACUGGAACGAAAUGUGCACUCUGAUCGAGAGGUCUGUAGCAUUUCGUCUGUUUUUAGCCUUAUUUACAAUGUUCUAAUAGCGUUUAUUAACUCUCUUAGAGUUGUAUUCUUAAAAUAGGUUCUAAUCGUUUUUACUAUUUUGCCCAAGAAUACGGAGUCUUAAUAAUUUAAUAAACGUAUAGGUUACCCAAGUAAAAUAACUGCGUAUGCGAAUGACUGUAUACAGUCACGUUUAUGAAAUUACAGUUAUAAUGCCUGCCUAUUUUUUCCAUUAUAUUGCAAUUCAUGACUUUAUUCGUCAAUAGAGUAGAGUGUAGGAUAUGACUAGAGGAUUUUAAAUAACCACCAGUGGGAUUGGGACACUGCCGACUACUGUCAUUAAAGUGCAUUUAAAGACACUUCUUCACAGCUUGUGACUUGCACUGUAGCGUGCACGCGAGGCUGUUAUAUACAAGUUUGUCAAGACAUCAAUGUUUGCUGGCCCUCCCCACAUUGGGCUCUGACCUCACAGGGAGUUGGAGAUGAAUCAAAUUGUAAGGUGCAACUUUAUUUUAUUUGUUCAUCAAUGUAUUUUUACUCUUUUAACAUAUAGUCAUACAUUAAUAAUAUUAGCAGCAUAUUUCACCUGACUUCCUCAGUCUAAACCCAAACUACUUGCAAAUGUUUAAAUGUAAGAAAGUAUUAACCAAAAAAUGUGUCUCAAAUAUUUAUCUUUCUUUUCUUUUAUUAAUGGUUGUCCAAAUAGUUUUGAAGUGAAAUGGCGUAUUUGGAGUUUUGGUACCAGCUUUUUUUUCCAUAUCACAUUCCAGUGAAUUUGAAAAGACUGAAAUUAUCUACAGCCUAAGCCUGAUGGAGUGGCAGGGGCACCUUCCCCAGGAUCAUGCCUUUGUAGAGCUUCUUGUUCCUGGGAUUCCCAGUGAGCUGGAUGUCCAACAGCUGCUCAGAGACACAGAAGAAAAACUCAAGCUCAAUGCCGACAGUUUCGUCUUUUUCUAUCUCUAUGUAUUAGCGGUUGUGCA